GACGAACGCUGGCGGCGUGCUUAACACAUGCAAGUCGAACGGUGAAGCGCUUUCCUUUUUGGUUGGUGUGGAUGAGUGGCGAACGGGUGAGUAACACGUGAGUAACCUGCCCCCUUCUUCUGGAUAACCGCAUGAAAGUGUGGCUAAUACGGGAUAUUCUGCGCCUGCUGCAUGGUGGGUGUGGGAAAGAUUGUGCCUUUGGGUGUUUUCGGUGGGGGAUGGGCUCGCGGCCUAUCAGCUUGUUGGUGGGGUGAUGGCCUACCAAGGCGGUGACGGGUAGCCGGCCUGAGAGGGUGGACGGUCACACUGGGACUGAGACACGGCCCAGACUCCUACGGGAGGCAGCAGUGGGGAAUAUUGCACAAGGGGCGCAAGCCUGAUGCAGCGACGCCGCGUGAGGGAUGGAGGCCUUCGGGUUGUGAACCUCUUUCGCCAGUGAAGCAGGCCUGCUCCUUGUGGGUGGGUUGACGGUAGCUGGAUAAGAAGCGCCGGCUAACUACGUG
rnacentral:rRNA from 1 species